AGAUGCAAAGGCUACAGUUUGAAUAAUUGACUUUGGCCAUUCAAAACCUGUUGAUCCUUAGGAGUUGUCCACUCUCACUACACUGGAGGGAUGCCGCUGUCAGACAAAUGGGAUUAUAUGAAAACUAGAGGUCAGCUGGCUCAUUGUAUCACAUGGAAAGGGACAUCUGGCCUUCCUUUAUCCUCCUUAAAAAGCAAGAGCAAGGGAAACAUCAUAGAAGAUGCCUUGACAACUCCCUUAGAAGGCCUUGGAGGAAGAAAGAUUUCAG